GCCUGGGUGGCGGAAUUGGCAGACGCUACGGACUUAAAAUCCGUUGAUCGCUACGAUCGUGUGGGUUCGACUCCCACCCCAGGCA
rnacentral:tRNA from 1 species